UGACCGUGCAAAGGUAGCGUAAUCACCUGUCUUUUAAAUAAAGACCUGUAUGAAUGGCAAGACGAGGGUUUUACUGUCUCCUCCCCCCAGUCAAUGAAAUUGAUCUACCCGUGCAGAAGCGGGUAUAAAAACAUAAGACGAGAAGACCCUAUGGAGCUUUAGGCAUAUAUCAAAUAUGUAAAAAACCAAAUUUUUCCAAAUGGGCCUAAAAAAUGAGAAAAACAAGUAUUAAUGAUUAAGUGCCUUCGGUUGGGGCGACCACGGGGAAAAAUAAAACCCCCACAUGGAAUGGGAAAAAUAACCCUAAGCCAAGAAAAACACUUCUAAGCAACAAAAUUUUUGACCAAUAAACGACCCAGGGACACCAUCCCUGAGCAAUGAACCAAGUUACCCUAGGGAUAACAGCGCAAUCCUUUCCCAGAGCCCAUAUCAACGAAAGGGUUUACGACCUCGAUGUUGGAUCAGGGCAUCCUAACGGUGCAGCCGCUGU
rnacentral:rRNA from 1 species